AAGAGCAAUAAAUAAAACUGUGAGAAGGACUGUGUUUUUGGCUUCGUUCUUCUUCAUCAUCAAUCAUCAUCUUCUUCCUCUUCUUCUUCUUCUUCUUCUUCUUCUUCGUCCUUCAUCAUCUUCUGAUUUCCAAUUCCUUCUUCUAGAAGCUUCUCUCCUUUCCAUUCUUCCCUUCCGAUCGUUCAUGGCUACGGUCGGACACAACAAUCUCAAUGCCAAAUUGGUUCUCCUCGGGGAUAUGGGUACUGGAAAAUCCAGCCUCGUUUUGCGUUUUGUCAAGGGUCAAUUCCUUGAAUUUCAGGAAUCAACAAUAGGGGCAGCAUUCUUUUCACAGACACUGGCAGUAAAUGAUGCCACAGUGAAAUUUGAGAUUUGGGACACAGCAGGACAAGAGAGAUACCAUAGCUUGGCUCCCAUGUAUUACAGAGGCGCUGCUGCUGCUAUCAUUGUCUAUGACAUUACUAGCUCAGAUUCAUUUACAAGAGCUAAAAAGUGGGUCCAAGAGCUUCAGAAGCAAGGGAAUCCUAAUAUGGUUGUGGCCCUAGCUGGUAACAAAUCUGACUUGGAAGAUAAGAGGAAAGUGACGCCUGAAGAAGCACGCGUAUAUGCUGAAGACAAUGGUCUAUUUUUCAUGGAGACCUCUGCAAAAACUGCUGCCAAUGUUAAUGAUGUAUUUUAUGAAAUAGCCAAGAGGUUACCAAGGGCACAGCCUGCGCAAAACCCAGCAGGGAUGGUUCUUGUUGAUAGACCUGCAGAAGGAUCCAGAGCUGCAUCAUGUUGUUCAUGAUUCUGUAUCCUGUACAACCCGGAAAUGAUCCUCUCAACAUUUUUAAAAAAUUAAUCAGGUCAAGGGUCAACCUUUAACCAUUGAUCUCUAUGUGUAAUAAUUAAUGAAAUAAAAUAAUGGUUAGAUGGUGAAACUUUUCAUGAUAAUUUUUUUAACAAUUGAGAGGAUCCAUUCUCGUACCCCCGAUAGUUGAUCCUGUUUUCUUUGGUUUGUAAAUACUGUACGCACUUUGAUUAUGUGCAACUCCAGCAAGUUUAUGGGCUACCUUGAUAUGGAUGCGAAUUAUAUAAUACAACUUGUUGGUACAAAA